rnacentral:rRNA from 1 species
UACAGAGGGUGCGAGCGUUAAUCGGAAUUACUGGGCGUAAAGCGUGCGUAGACGGUUAUUUAAGUCGGGUGUGAAAGCCCCGGGCUCAACCUGGGAAUUGCAUUCGAGACUGAAUAGCUAGGGUACGGUAGAGGGAAGCAGAAUUUCCGGUGUAGCGGUGAAAUGCGUAGAUAUCGGAAGGAACAUCAGUGGCGAAAGCGGCUUCCUGGACCAGUACCGACGUUCAGGCACGAAAGCGUGGGGAGCAAACAGG